CAGACUCAUUCGGAAAGCCAACAGAGUUUAAGCUCACUGUGGAUCUCAUCAGCUUCCCCUGCGGUGCCUGGAAAGGAUGCCAGUCCGUCUCAGUGCUGCUGACGUCCAGCUGACAGGAGGUCAAGAGGAAGGAUGUGGUGAAAUAUACUGUGCUGCUGUGUAUGGGAGUACGAGAAAGUGCACAGUUUCUAAUCAUUGACGGAAGCCUCUACCUCAUGAAGCUAACCCCCA